rnacentral:ncRNA from 1 species
GUUAAUGCGAUGAAGGGAACAAGUAUAUUAAUGGAAGUUUUCAGAGAGGAGUUCUUAAAAUAGCUGAGAGGAAUUCUAAAUUGAAUUUAAUAGAAUGCAUCCUAGAGCACUAAGCUGAAAUAUAUUAUUAGGCUUAGCAGGUGUGCCUGAUAUAGCACAAAGAGAUGUUAUGUUUAUAAUUUUAAACAUAAUAAUCAGAGUGGGACCGUGGAAAUUUUCUGCCUCUGUU